AAUAUGAUAUUCCCGAAACUGGAAAAAAAUACAUUUUGGAAUCUGUUCAAGCUGCCUGGAGAAAGCACAAGAGUAGAUUGAAAAAUGAUCACUUUGACCCCUAUCCAAAUGAUGAAACUCGAAUGCAACAUAUCCUUAAAGAUAUUCUAGUUUCUCAGUUUAAGGAACUCCUUAGGUAUUGGAACUCUGAGAAACUCCAGGUGCAACGAUUGCGGAAGAAAGCAGUGACGAAGACCUUACUUGAGUGUUGUUGAUCGUUGUUAAACAUUCUAUAAUCAUGUUCAAAGAUAUUUUAGUUUAGAACUUUUUGUAUGCAAACUCAUCUAUUUUGACUUUUGAAUUGUUGAUCAAACAAUGUAUUCACAUUUUGUUUUUUAUAUGAGUAAUGCUAGUUGAAUAUUUUAAUUUUA